AUGCAGUCGAACGCUGAAGCACCAGCUUGCUGGUGUGGAUGAGUGGCGAACGGGUGAGUAAUACGUGAGUAACCUGCCCUUGACUCUGGGAUAAGCCCGGGAAACUGGGUCUAAUACUGGAUGCUACAUGUCACCGCAUGGUGGUGUGUGGAAAGGGUUUACUGGUCUUGGAUGGGCUCACGGCCUAUCAGCUUGUUGGUGAGGUAAUGGCUCACCAAGGCGACGACGGGUAGCCGGCCUGAGAGGGUGACCGGCCACACUGGGACUGAGACACGGCCCAGACUCCUACGGGAGGCAGCAGUGGGGAAUAUUGCACAAUGGGCGAAAGCCUGAUGCAGCGACGCCGCGUGAGGGAUGACGGCCUUCGGGUUGUAAACCUCUUUCAGCAGGGAAGAAGCCACAAGUGACGGUACCUGCAGAAGAAGCGCCGGCUAACUACGUGCCAGCAGCCGCGGUAAUACGUAGGGCGCAAGCGUUGUCCGGAAUUAUUGGGCGUAAAGAGCUCGUAGGCGGUUUGUCGCGUCUGCUGUGAAAGCCCGGGGCUUAACCCCGGGUGUGCAGUGGGUACGGGCAGACUAGAGUGCAGUAGGGGAGACUGGAAUUCCUGGUGUAGCGGUGGAAUGCGCAGAUAUCAGGAGGAACACCGAUGGCGAAGGCAGGUCUCUGGGCUGUUACUGACGCUGAGGAGCGAAAGCAUGGGGAGCGAACAGGAUUAGAUACCCUGGUAGUCCAUGCCGUAAACGUUGGGCACUAGGUGUGGGGGACAUUCCACGUGUUCCGCGCCGUAGCUAACGCAUUAAGUGCCCCGCCUGGGGAGUACGGCCGCAAGGCUAAAACUCAAAGGAAUUGACGGGGGCCCGCACAAGCGGCGGAGCAUGCGGAUUAAUUCGAUGCAACGCGAAGAACCUUACCAAGGCUUGACAUAUACCGGAUCGUUCCAGAGAUGGUUCUUCCCCUUUGGGGUCGGUAUACAGGUGGUGCAUGGUUGUCGUCAGCUCGUGUCGUGAGAUGUUGGGUUAAGUCCCGCAACGAGCGCAACCCUCGUUCCAUGUUGCCAGCACGUGAUGGUGGGGACUCAU
rnacentral:rRNA from 1 species